UUAACCGAAUAGGGGAGCCGAAGGGAAACCGAGUCUUAACUGGGCGUUAAGUUGCAGGGUAUAGACCCGAAACCCGGUGAUCUAGCCAUGGGCAGGUUGAAGGUUGGGUAACACUAACUGGAGGACCGAACCGACUAAUGUUGAAAAAUUAGCGGAUGACUUGUGGCUGGGGGUGAAAGGCCAAUCAAACCGGGAGAUAGCUGGUUCUCCCCGAAAGCUAUUUAGGUAGCGCCUCGUGAAUUCAUCUCCGGGGGUAGAGCACUGUUUCGGCAAGGGGGUCAUCCCGACUUACCAACCCGAUGCAAACUGCGAAUACCGGAGAAUGUUAUCACGGGAGACACACGGCGGGUGCUAACGUCCGUCGUGAAGAGGGAAACAACCCAGACCGCCAGCUAAGGUCCCAAAGUCAUGGUUAAGUGGGAAACGAUGUGGGAAGGCCCAGACAGCCAGGAUGUUGGCUUAGAAGCAGCCAUCAUUUAAAGAAAGCGUAAUAGCUCACUGGUCGAGUCGGCCUGCGCGGAAGAUGUAACGGGGCUAAACCAUGCACCGAAGCUGCGGCAGCGACACUGUGUGUUGUUGGGUAGGGGAGCGU
rnacentral:rRNA from 1 species